rnacentral:lncRNA from 1 species
CAGCACUCGUGACUUGCCAUAAACACUCCAGGGGAGGCAGAUGACUCAUGCUGAACUCACCAGAAGCCGGCCAUCCCCAGGGUGGCUGGAAAGCAAAGCUCUCUUGAUGUACACGCUGGCAAAGGGCCCCUCACAGAACCCAUCCUCACCAGGCAAACAAACCAACCACCAGAAAGCUCAAGUCUCUUCAGCUUGCUACAGCAGAUGAGUGAGCAGUCUACCAGUCUGGUGCUCGUUCUGGUGCAGACAUGCAGGUCCCAGAGAGCCUCUUCACAGAGAGAUGCCAGUUUGGACAAAAGGUUCAGAGAGUCGGAGGCACCUAGGCUCACAUCCACGUUUUUCUUCUCAUCAACAUCCCUAUGUAAAAGAAGGGCAAGGCGGCGGCAGGACAAGAAAAAUCCCAGCAACUCAGCAUGACCUUACAUUUUGCACUACUCACCCAAAUGCUUCUUCCUCAGAUGUUUGUGGAGACCUAAAACCAGGAUCCAGAGUGGCUGGCUGCUUAUGCAACUGUCGGUGGCUCCAAGGGUAUGCAUCAUGAGAGAGGCCACCUUGGAUACUGUCCUGCCUCCUUGACCCAGCUUCUUAGAAACCCUGGACAGUCUAGUGUGCCUUGUUAGUCAAAGCAGUCAAAAGGCCCACCCGGGCUCAAGAGGAGAAGAGCCAGCCCUCAUCUCCUGAUGGAAGAGUCACAGAGCUUUAGAAUGAGCAUGUGGGGUUGAAAACAUUGUUGUGGACAUUUUUUGAAAAAUACAAUCUGCCAUCAGACAUUUCGCAGAUGCUGGGGGGCAGGACGGUCCUCAGCUGAUAUCUGAGUUGCAAUCAGGAAAAACAAAAAAAAAAACAGCACUACUAUUUUUUAAGACAAAAUAUUAACUGAACUAGACUUCAAAUCAAACUGAGAUCAUUUGAAAGAACACGGAUAAUGAAUAGAGGCUUUUAUUAUCGUGGAUUUCCCAGAAUUUGGCUGUGAAAAUCAUCAUGAAAAUGAACAAGCGGAAUGAAAAAUGUUUCUCUCUCAACGGUGCUGGAGAUUCACCAGGGAAGAGCUGGAAGCCGGCCCUGACAACGUCAGAAGGUCAGACCUUGGUUGUCAGGGGGACUGACCUGGUGAGACAGUGUGGAGAGGAGGUGGUCGGACAGAUCCGGGCUAGCCUAGAAAGGACAAGACACCGCACAUUCUUCUAACGUCGUCUGCUCCACCUACAUGUGUGUUCUCUCACGAGUGACAGCUUAGGGACAUGGACUUGAGAGCUUGGGAAUCUCCUAUUCCAUUUGGAGCUUUAGCAAGUGAGUCAAGGGCUUACAGACCUUGGCCUCCUUCUUGGUCUCUGACCCCAGAGACCAUCUCCUGAAAAGGAAGGCUCCCCACACCAGGCACUCACUCCUGUCCCCGUUGCUCUGGCUUUACAAUGAGUCUGCAUGGUGAGUCCCUGCCGUCAGACCUGAAGUCCUCUGUCAAGGGACCCAGAGGGACCUUCAGGUCAUGCAGAUUGGAAUGUGGGGACCCCGCCCUACAUCACUGUACCAUCCACAGUCUCAGGGUUGAAGCCGGGUGGUGGGGGGUGGGGCGGCCUUCGUGUCGAGAGAAAUCGUUUGGGCUCAGAUAAAGAAAGCUUUGAUUAAUGGGAGUGGAGUUCCGUGGUGACGCCCAUUUGAAAACUAUCCUGAUUUUCUGCUCUAGCUGCCUGAGCAGCAGGACUGAGAGAAGGCCUCUCUCAGUACCCAGCCGUCUCCCCUGGGUUGACAUCCUGUGGCCUCUGGGACUCCAUCUGCUUUUCCAUAAGCCACACCCCCAUCUCCCACACCCUAACUGAUCACUGAUCUCAAGGGUGAUGCUUUGGCCACUUCCUAGUCUGGAUUCUUUGGGUUUGGAGGGCAGCGGGUCAGUGCUCCCCUGUGGGCGUGGGAAUCAAGAUUCACUAGACUCUGUGCAGGUUAAGUGAAGUUUAUUUGGGGAGAGUGUAUUUACACAAGAAACAGAUGACUGCCGAGGGUUCCAGCUUUAAGGAUACCGACCCUGCCACCAGGAUGCUUCUCGAGAAGGAAGCAAGAGAGAGCUCCAAGCCCCAAACCUAAUCCUUAUCGCCGGUCAGGUCCGCACCUGGGACCACGCCCUUGGGUGUGGGCAGUGUUACCGUGUGGAGAUGGAUAUCACUACAUUCCCCGACUUCUCUUUAACUACACCGUCCAUGACGCUCUUUCACAGACUCCUAGAAUGCAAGGCCUGCAAAGAUCUUAGUCUCUGAGACUUAUAGCGCCUCUCAUUUUUGCCGACAUGUAUCACAGGUUGGAACACUAAGGUCCAGAGAAGGGGAGAAGACGCAUCUGCCCAUCUCUCUAUCAGCACCUAUGCUAGGACUCACAGAGAGGCCCACUUGGGGUGUGGCACACGCCUGAAUUCCCCCCUGCAUCCCCCUUCCUUGCAAAGGGCAGGCCCCGCUGGAGAUCAUGCCAGACGGUGUCAAACAGGAACGCGUCUUCCUUCUUGAAAUACAUUCUGGAUCAGCAGACAGGCCCCCUUCAAGACCCCAGCAAUGCGGUUUGCCCAAAGCCUAGCACACAGUAACUCAGAAACAUAUGUGCCUACAGAAGGACAUCCCCUAUUGGAGUGACAUACAGGAGGAGACAAUGGGAGAGAAACACCGCCUCUUCACCGCACGAGCUACAGUGAAACGUGCAAAGAGCUGAGCGCAAGGAGAAGCCAAGACACUUGCCUGUUGGGGGCCAGGUAAGAUGGAUGAGCACACUCCGGCAUCUCUCCCGGGGAUGCACAGCUCUUGAAGCUGGAGACUGUACCAGAUGCUGUCUGACGAUUCUGAGAGGCUGUCAGCAGUUGGAGUCUACGGAGGAAAACCAGCACGGGAUGAACCAUUGCCUGACUGUGAGUUGC